UACGAAGGGGGCUAGCGUUGUUCGGAAUUACUGGGCGUAAAGGGUGCGUAGGCGGGGCUUUAAGUCAGGGGUGAAAUCCUGGAGCUCAACUCCAGAACUGCCUUUGAUACUGAGGAUCUUGAGUUCGGGAGAGGUGAGUGGAACUGCGAGUGUAGAGGUGAAAUUCGUAGAUAUUCGCAAGAACACCAGUGGCGAAGGCGGCUCACUGGCCCGAUACCGACGCUGAGGCACGAAAGCGUGGGGAGCAAACAGG
rnacentral:rRNA from 1 species